rnacentral:siRNA from 1 species
GGCGUACAACGGUGGAUUUGGUCG